rnacentral:rRNA from 1 species
AGAAUCAACGCUGGCGGCGUGCCUCAGACAUGCAAGUCGAACGAUUAAAGCUCUCUUCGGAGAGUGCAUAGAGUGGCGCACGGGUGAGUAACACGUAAGUAAUCUACCUUUGAGUGGGGAAUAACGUUCGGAAACGGACGCUAAUACCGCAUAAUGCAGCGGCAUCGCAAGAUGACAGUUGUUAAAGGAGCAAUCCGCUUAAAGAGGAGCUUGCGGCAGAUUAGCUUGUUGGUAAGGUAACGGCUUACCAAGGCUACGAUCUGUAUCCGGUACUAAGAGGACGGUCGG